CUUUUAGAGGAAGUAAAAGUCGUAACAAGGUUUCCGUAGGUGAACCUGCGGAAGGAUCAUUUCCGAACAAACAUCAUAUCAACCAACCAUGUGAAAUGUUUUGGGUGUCCUUACUGGAGGGGGUAGCUGGAGUUGUUAUGUGCUGCUUAGGCGGCAUCUAGCUCAUCUCCGAUUUUUUUUACACCUCCAGGCCUUGAUGAACUACCUUGUCACAAAGGUUGAUUUUACAUUUGUCUUUUCAACUUUUAGAAAAGUAAAUGAUAUGACAACUUUUAACGGUGGAUCUCUUGGCUCGU
rnacentral:misc_RNA from 1 species